rnacentral:siRNA from 1 species
AUGCGACCAAUCAGGAGAUGCCAC